AUUGAACGCUGGCGGCAGGCUUAACACAUGCAAGUCGAACGAGUGGCGGACGGGUGAGUAAUGCUUGGGAAUCUAGCUUAUGGAGGGGGAUAACGUCCGGAAACGGGCGCUAAUACCGCAUACCAUAGGAUGAGCCCAAGUGGGAUUAGGUAGUUGGUGAGGUAAAGGCUCACCAAGCCGACGAUCUCUAGCUGGUCUGAGAGGAUGACCAGCCACACUGGGACUGAGACACGGCCCAGACUCCUACGGGAGGCAGCAGUGGGGAAUAUUGCGCAAUGGGGGCAACCUGACGCAGCCAUGCCGCGUGAAUGAAGAAGGCCUUCGGGUUGUAAAGUUCUUUCGGUAGCGAGGCGUUAACUACAGAAGAAGCACCGGCUAACUCCGUGCCAGCAGCCGCGGUAAUAC
rnacentral:rRNA from 1 species